GGUCCAGUAGCAUAGUGGUUAAUGCAUCAGAAUUGGAUGGUCAAGACUGAGCUUCUUCUAACUAUCCUUGUUCAAGUCAAGGCUGGACCA